UUGAGUUUGACACCCCUGUUCUAGAUAUACAGAUGCUUCUCACACUAUUUUAGUCUAGUAUCAACGUUUGGCCCCAAAUGUUUUAUGAUUAAAAGACCCAAACUAAAUUAAUUAGUGUAACCACAAGCUACAGAUGCAAUAUUCUGACACCAUCUUAAAUCAUCUAGCAUAUAAAUAAAGAACAGGCCAUGGGAAAUGUCAUUAAAAGGGUGGGAAACAGAUGCUUUUUGAAACUGCUAUAAAAUACUAAUAAAAAAUGAACGUCCUAAUGUAAUCUUAUGGGGCACAUAUUUCUGAGCAAUGUCAAAAAGGACUCCAGCGGCAUGAAUCACCCCUCAUAUAGACAAGCCCGAACUAUCGCGCCGCUCUCCCGCUCCGCCUAAAAAUCAAUUAUACAACCACCUGAACCGGACCGAACUACACUAAUCCCGACUCCACUCAACUUGGGACGUCGAGUCACCGCGCAGAACUAGUCUGAGCGGAUUGUGUAACCCGGCUAAUUCCUGGAGGAUACCGUGAGUUGUUUUAAAGUGAUAGAAAUGUCCCCCCCUUUUUUUUUUACCCCCCUCUAUCGUUGUUUAACAGUCGAUGGGAGAAGCUAACAGGGGAAAAGGUCAAAGUGCCGCGUGACCACAACUAGUCCUAGCUAAACAGCCUACGUGACGUCGACGCAGGGGUAGUUUGCGAUAGUUAAUCGAUACCAUGCGGGCAAAUCACGGCGGCUAAGCGGGAAAACGGACGCUAUCGGCCCCGCAUCCGUCAGGAAUUCAAAACACCAGGAACUCCUUGAUUAAUGAGGUUGACUCCAAAAUGUUUGUACAAUGGGCCUAAGACACUGACCCCUAUUAAAGAGCAGCUCAGACAUUUGAGGGCUGGAACGGCGGAGGUGGAUCAGCUGAUUGAGGGGCCGUCACCAGGCAGCUGAUGCUAACAUGGAUAAGAGAGGAGAGAGACACGCCGAGGCGACUGUUGUUCUUUCAGAGCUUUUCUUCUAAUGUGUUGUUGGGUUUCUCUCCAUUUCCUUGUUUAGUCUUCUUGUUGCGUGCCG